AUUGAACGCUGGCGGCAGGCCUAACACAUGCAAGUCGAACGGUAACAGGAAGAAGCUUGCUUCUUUGCUGACGAGUGGCGGACGGGUGAGUAAUGUCUGGGAAACUGCCUGAUGGAGGGGGAUAACUACUGGAAACGGUAGCUAAUACCGCAUAACGUCGCAAGACCAAAAAGGGGGACCUUCGGGCCUCUUGCCAUCGGCUGUGCCCAGAUGGGAUUAGCUAGUAGGUGGGGUAACGGCUCACCUAGGCGACGAUCCCUAGCUGGUCUGAGAGGGUGACCAGCCACACUGGAACUGAGACACGGUCCAGACUCCUACGGGAGGCAGCAGUGGGGAAUAUUGCACAAUGGGCGCAAGCCUGAUGCAGCAAUGCCGCGUGUAUGAUGAAGGCCUUCGGGUUGUAAAGUACUUUCAGCGGGGAGGAAGGGAGUAGAGUUAAUACCUUUGCUCAUUGACGUUACCCGCAGAAGAAGCACCGGCUAACUCCGUG
rnacentral:rRNA from 1 species